GUGGUGACCCCUAACAGGAGCAGCCGAAAGAAGAAGAAGGUCUCAGUCUGGGAGUAUUUCUUGGGCCCUGCAAGAGGAAACACUGAGAACGUUCCAGAAAAGGCAAAACUCACAGUUACACACGGACUGAUUUAUGGCACUAAAACAGCAUUACAUAAAGCUCUAAAAAGUGUUUAUCACAGCCUGCACUUGAUAACCCACGGCCUCUGGACCCUCUGACCUGUUGAGCCCCAGGACUUUUGAAUGGGACAACAUCUGACGAUAAGGCCUGGAGCACCAAGAGCACCUCAGCUAAUAAGGAAUGGGAGUCCCGACUACUGCGGCCGCAUUCAUCCUGCCAGUCCGGUCUCAUGACUCGCAUCGCACACUGAAUGAUUAUUAUUUUUAAUACGGGCCAAGUAUGAAACCUUUGAUCGGUUUGUUGUUGUUGUGACUGUAAGGCAGUCCCAGAAGCUUCGCUACUUUACCGCAGUGCAUUAGUGGAGGGAACACCUCCUGCUGGACACAUAAGGCACCUGGUGAAGCCCAAAGGUGUAACCAGCCUACAGUUGGCCCUAAAUGGGGGACAAUUUAUAGUAAGAGAGAUCAAAGAAUCCUGUAUAUGAACGGGAGAGUGCAUGCCAAGGGUCUCUCUCGCCAUCUGUGUUCUGCUGAUAGAAAGCCAGCGGAGAGAAGGAAAAUAUUAAAAGGCUGCUUAAAGCUUGUGGAUGGUAGGGUAGGUAGAAGGACUGGGCGAAAAACCAGUUGAUCUGGCCUACUGGAUGAUAUCCUCCUAGUGGUAUGGAUUAAAAAUAUGGUGGCAAGCGUAACAUUAGUGGAAAUCAUCAAGACACAAUAAACACAAUCUGCAAAAUGAAA